CAUAGAAGACAAGCACGGAAACCAUCAGCAGACCAGCGACCCCUCAUCUCCUAAAACAACCCUAUGUCCGCUAGUGACCCUACUCGCCGGAAAAUGCAUCAACCCCAGCCACCGACCUUUCUUAACUCCAAAAAAGCAUAGUCGACCACCUCCUUCAACCCAUUGUCACAACAGCAAUAGAAACCAGUGCCGCCUCCCAAAAUCAGCAUCCGUCACUCUCUUCUUCUUCACAACAAGAAGCGUUGCUGCUGCUGCUUCACCUCUCACUCACGACAAACUCAGCCUCCAAAGUCGCUAAAAAAACCAAGCUCACCAUUCAUCUCCACCUCCAGCCACCUCGCCACUUAACCAGACCACCCCACGCAACGAGGUUCAGUACGGGUAUGGAGAGAAAAAAGAAGAUGAAAACAGAGGGGAACAAACAUAGGGGAACGACCGGGUUUCAAAUUUUGCCUUCCAAAAAUGGAAUUUGUUUGAGGUGGUUUGAGGUCUAUUUGAGGUGUUGUUCGGGUUUCCAUUGUUGCGCAUGAUUUGUAAUCCGCGUUUCGCUUCCAAUUAGCUCAAGGAUUUGAGGUUCAAUCUUUUAAUACUUUCUUAUUCCCUUUUCGGUAAUGUUGUUUUUUUGCUUCUUCUGUUUUGUGCCUCGUGUGAUAAAGUUUAUAUUUACCAUUAUAAAUGUGCAUAAAUACUUGUCCAUUGAUUGUUAAUUUAGUAUGUUGACGUAGAAAUGCCAGUUGUUGGGAAUUCUUAAAGAAAGCUAUUUGAUGGACUUGAUUUAAGAAAACUUGUGUGGUUGGUGUUGAGUCGGUUACAAAUUACGUGAGAAAGAAAUGGGUUAUGCGAGUUGGCUUUAAAAAAGUGAAGGAAAUUAGCCUUAGGAUGAUCUUGAUGCUUUUAUUCUACUUGUUUAUUAAUUAGAUUGCUAAUAACAUGCCUAGGGCGAUCACACAUGGGUAGUCAAGCUUUAGGAUCUUUGUUUGGAUUUCGAGGCGAGAGGUCGUUCACUUUAGCUAAAUUUAUUUGGGAAAUACCCUGAAGGAUUUGUACAUAUUUUAUUCCAAUAAAUUGCCGAAGUAUUUUGUAAUUGGAGGCCAUGACGAAUUCAUGAGAGGAAGUAUAGUAUAGGCUAGCAUAGAAUUUUACUUUUUGUUUUUUUAUUAGGUGGGGACGGCCUCAAACCUCUUUUUGAUGCUUUUCCUUUGUGUGUUUUACCUCAAUUUUAAUAUCGUAAAAUCUAACUUGAUCGAAUAUGCAACCGUGGUCUUCACGGGACUUGGGGAGUGCCUAACACCUUCUCCCCGAGUCAAAUGAACCCCCUUACCCGAAUCUCUGGUGCGGACAUGGUCUUAGAGUCCAAAACGUUUUAAAAAGAAAAAUCAUUUUAAGAAAAACGAUGACCUGGCACACUGAUAUCAAUGUCAGGUCGCGACUCUCAGUUACUUGUUUUUGAACAAAUUUUUGUAACAUUCUAAUUUCAAACCCUUUUGUCUUUUACAUUUUUUUUUAUUAAUUUAAGAGGGUGUGACAUCUCUAGCGACUUUGCUGAUCUUGAGCUAGUACUUGAUCUUGUUGACUUUUAGGAUAUUAGGUUGAGGUUUUUAUGUGUUUUGUUUGCUUUAUUCGAUUUUAUUUUGCUUAUAUCUUUUAUUAUUUUAUAGCUGCUUAUUUGUUUACGGUUUUUAUGAUUCUAUCUCAAUUUGAAUGUUUUAAAAGUCAACUAGAUCAAGUACACACCCGUACUAGUUACAGUACAAGGGGAGUUCCUAGAACCUUUUCCCCGAGUCAACUGAACCCCCUUAUCCAAAUCUCCGAUGCAGACUUUAUUUGGAGCCCAAAGUGUUUUAAAGGAAUCUUUUAAAUGUUGAUCUGGCACUCCGAAAUCAAUGGAAGGUGGCGACUCUGAGUUGUUUCCUUUUGAACACAAAUUUUUGUAACUUUCUAAUUGAAAAACUCUUUCGAGAUUUUACUAAAUUCCAUUUAUAAAUAUUAAGAGGGUUAGUUAGGUUUGUUAAAAAAAAGGGGUGUGACAUCUAUCCAAAGGAAUCAAUUUAAAAUGCCCCAAUUAGAAAUUGCUGAGGUAUGAUUGCCCCAACUUGGGGAUGGACUGGUUAUCACCUUACCAUUCUAUCUUGGAUUUUCAUGCCAAGACUGUGAUCUUAGCUUUACCGGGUUUGCCUUGUAUAAAGUGGAGAUGAACUCCUGGUCUUUCCACCCGGGGUGUUAUUUUGUACGCCGAGGCUCGACGUAUGGUCGAGAAUAGGUGUCUGGCCUAUUUGGUUUAUGUUCGUGAUUGGAGUGCUAAAGUCCCUUCUAUUGAUUCUGUGUCCAUUGUUCGAGAGGUUCCGGAGGUUUCGAUUCAGAUCUGCCGGGGAUGCCGCCCGACAGGGAUAUUAACUUAUGCAUAGAUUUGGCUCCGGGCACCAUGCCCAAUUCUUUUCUGCCAUUCAUAUGGCCCUUCCUGGGUUGAAAGAAUAAAAGGAACAUUUGAAGGAUUGGCUUGAGAAGAGUUUCAUUAGACCUUGUAUUUUGCCUUGGGGUGCACCAGUUCUGUUUUUGAAGAAAAGGAUGGUUCAAUGAGAAUGUGCAUUGAUUAGAACCAAUUAGACAAGGUUUGAAUCAAUAAUAAUUAUCCACCGAGGAUUGAUGAUUUAUUUGAUAAAAUCUAGGGUGACAAGGUAUUUUCAAAGAUGGACUUGAGAUCCGGCUACCAUUCAGUUGAGGAUUAGGGCAUCCGAUAUCCCUAAUAUAGUUUUUCGCACUCGGUACGGGCAUUAUGAGUUCUUGGUUAUGUUAUUGGGGUUGGCAAAUGCCCAUAAGGUUUUAUGGAUUUGAUGAGUCGAGAGUUCUGGAUUUAACUGGAUUUGUUCGUGAUAGUCUUUAUUGAUGAUAUUUGGAUAUAUUCUCGCAGCUGGGAUGAGCACGAGCAACAUCUCAAAGUGGUUCUUUAGAAUUUGAGGGAUAGUCAAUUAUAUGCUAAGUUGUUUAGGUGGGAGUUUGGUUUGAGUUCAGUUGCAUUUCUGGGUCAUGCCGUAUCAGAAGAGGGUAUUCAAGUUGAUUCGAAGAAGAUCGAGGCAGUCAAGAACUGGACCAAUCCAGCAACAACUACAAAGAUUUGAAGUUUCUUGGGAUUGGCAGGAUACUAUCAUCGGUUCGUGAGGGCUUCUCUUCUAUUGCAGCCUCGAUGAUCAGGUUGACCUGGAAGGGUGCCUACUUAAGAUGGUCGGAUGAGUGUGAGGCGAGUUUUCAGAAGCUCUAGAAUGUUUUGACUACGACACCAGUGGUGGUUUUACCUACAGGUUCGGGGCCUUAUACAGUCUAUUGUGAUGUAUCUCGUAUUGGACUUGGUGAAGUGUUGAUGCGGGAUGGUAAGAUCGUUGCCAAUGUUUCAUGGCAGCCUAAGAUUCGUGAGAAGAACUAUCCGGUCCAUGAUUUGGAUUUAGUAGC
rnacentral:lncRNA from 1 species